GGCAGUUCUUGGGUGAUGCACCCCAGAAUCAGGCUCCCUCCCCUCUGGUUCCAGGUACAUCAUCUGAGAACCGCA
rfam:Myotis brandtii contig270303, whole genome shotgun sequence.